rnacentral:rRNA from 1 species
GAUGAACGCUGGCGGCGUGCCUAAUACAUGCAAGUCGAGCGAACGGACGAGAAGCUUGCUUCUCUGAUGUUAGCGGCGGACGGGUGAGUAACACGUGGAUAACCUACCUAUAAGACUGGGAUAACUUCGGGAAACCGGAGCUAAUACCGGAUAAUAUUUUGAACCGCAUGGUUCAAAAGUGAAAGACGGUCUUGCUGUCACUUAUAGAUGGAUCCGCGCUGCAUUAGCUAGUUGGUAAGGUAACGGCUUACCAAGGCAACGAUGCGUAGCCGACCUGAGAGGGUGAUCGGCCACACUGGAACUGAGACACGGUCCAGACUCCUACGGGAGGCAGCAGUAGGGAAUCUUCCGCAAUGGGCGAAAGCCUGACGCAGCAACACCGCGUGAGUGAUGAAGGUCUUCGGAUCGUAAAACCCUGUUAUUAGGGAAGAACAUAUGUGGGAGUAAAUGUGCACAUCUUGACGGUACCUAAUCAAAAAGCAACGGCUAACUACGUG